UCCCGUUUAGCUCAGUUGGUAGAGCGCGUCACUAGUAUCUUCACAGUGUGCUAUGACGAGGUCAGUCGUUCGAGUCGGCUAAUGGGAA